rnacentral:rRNA from 2 species
AAAUUGAAGAGUUUGAUCAUGGCUCAGAUUGAACGCUGGCGGCAGGCCUAACACAUGCAAGUCGAACGGUAACAGGAAGCAGCUUGCUGCUUCGCUGACGAGUGGCGGACGGGUGAGUAAUGUCUGGGAAACUGCCUGAUGGAGGGGGAUAACUACUGGAAACGGUGGCUAAUACCGCAUAACGUCGCAAGACCAAAGAGGGGGACCUUCGGGCCUCUUGCCAUCAGAUGUGCCCAGAUGGGAUUAGCUUGUUGGUGAGGUAACGGCUCACCAAGGCGACGAUCCCUAGCUGGUCUGAGAGGAUGACCAGCCACACUGGAACUGAGACACGGUCCAGACUCCUACGGGAGGCAGCAGUGGGGAAUAUUGCACAAUGGGCGCAAGCCUGAUGCAGCCAUGCCGCGUGUAUGAAGAAGGCCUUCGGGUUGUAAAGUACUUUCAGCGGGGAGGAAGGUGUUGCGGUUAAUAACCGCAGCAAUUGACGUUACCCGCAGAAGAAGCACCGGCUAACUCCGUGCCAGCAGCCGCGGUAAUACGGAGGGUGCAAGCGUUAAUCGGAAUUAC